rnacentral:lncRNA from 1 species
AGCCCUGCCAAGGCCAGCAAUACCCUUGACACCUGCUGCAAGUUGUGUCAGGAGAAAUGUUUGGCUGCAAACGAAGAGUAAGUUGGGUACAGAAACGAUCUUGGUAGGAUUAGACCCAUCUGUGGAGUGAAGUGAGAUAACAUCUGAAGAUAUAUUGGCCUCCAUGAGUUGAUGGAGUUCAAAGAUUUCGAAAAUAGUGACAAAGAGAAGAUAUUGAAGUUUCCUAUUCGGAAGGUCUCUUGCCAUAUAGGUUGGGAUUUCCUUCUAUAUUUCUCAUCUUUUAUAUGGAUAGUUCUAGAUAUAUUUGGAAUGUAUUUUCAAAUAUAUUUUCAGUUUAUUAGGAUAUAGGCUGUUUAAGGUUAGUUCCUUUUCUAUACAAUUUAGAUUUAGAAAGUUGUUAUGGCAUUGAGGUGAUUCGGAUCUAGAUGGAAAAGAGGGCAGCUAGGUUCGGCUGCAAGGGUUUGGUUUAUAUAUAUACAUAUAUAUAUAUAUAUAUAUAUAUAUAUCUCGAGGUACGGCUGUAUACAUGUGGAGAUAGAGGUGCUAGGGUUUAACAUAUAUACAUAGAUAUAUAUAUGGUAGGGAGAAGAGAAAAACAUUGAGAAGAAAAUAUAGGUUUCGUGAAUGUGUGCUCUAGAGUUUUUUUUGUGUGAACAAAUAUUCAGAUCAUAGUAUAGUCCUGUGUGGCAAGAGACCUUCGUGACUCCAUUGAAGACCUUCGUGGCUUCAAGUCCUUCGUGGCAUUUCGAGACCUUCGUGGCUUCAAGUCCUUCGUGGCAUUUCGAGACCUUCGUGGCUCCAUUCAAGACCUUCGUGGCUUCAACGACCUCCGUGGCGUUAUCAUCCUUCGUGGCAACAAAGACCUUUGUGGCUUUGUAUUACACUUGACCGUGUUCUUCAAGUGUGAAGUAAUUUUACUUUUGAGAAUAUAUUACUUUUGAUCAUGUGUUGUCAAGUAAUUGUAAUCUUCUAUUCAAUAGUAAAGUAAAGUUCUUCUAUAUAAUCCGCUGCUUAUCUCAUAAUCGUUCUAUCUAGUAUUUUCAUUUGGUAUCAGAGCAGGUGCUGGAGGUGUCCGGUAGAUCUAGCUAAAGAUGGAACGAAAUGGGUUGAAUCAACCGCCCAUGCUCAAAGGAAUGGAUUUUGCUCAAUGGAAACUUCAAAUGAGAUCAUUCAUUUAUGGCAUUGAUUUUCAUGCAUGGAGAAGUGUGGAACGUGGCUGGAAAGCUCCUGAGAUUUCUACGGAUGGAAAAGCUCCAGAAGGGUCGUCAUCUAAAUUAAAGGACGAAGAUGAUUGGGAUGAAAAAGAGAUCAAACUGAGUGAAGCUAAUCACAAAGCCUUAAAUGCUCUCUAUGCUGCUCUAAGCAGAGAUGAAAAAAAGAAGGUUCAGAAUUGUGUUACCGCCAAACAGGUUUGGGAUAAAUUAUGUGUUCUUCAUGAAGGUAAUGAUGUUGUAAAAGAACAAAGGUUACAACAAUACUAUUCUGAAAUUGAUGCUUUGAAAAUGAAAGAUGAUGAAUCUAUUGAUGAUUUUUAUGCUCGUUUUACUGAUCUUUCUAGUUUAUGUGAAAGCUUGGGACGUCCUUUAAAAGAAUCUGAUAUUGUCAGGAAAAUUUUGAGAUCUCUUCCAAAGAAGUACAGGAUAAAAAAGACGACGAUUCAGGAGCAAUACAACUUGAAUGAAUAUUCAGUAGAUUUGUUGAUCGGAAAUCUGAAGGCUUGGGAAAUGGAACUUGAAGAUGACGAAAAACCUAAAGGUACAAGUUCAAAAAAAUAUUGCUUUGAAAUGUCNNNNNNNNNNNNNNNNNNNNUAUCAUCCUUCGUGGCAACAAAGACCUUUGUGGCUUUGUAUUACACUUGACCGUGUUCUUCAAGUGUGAAGUAAUUUUACUUUUGAGAAUAUAUUACUUUUGAUCAUGUGUUGUCAAGUAAUUGUAAUCUUCUAUUCAAUAGUAAAGUAAAGUUCUUCUAUAUAAUCCGCUGCUUAUCUCAUAAUCGUUCUAUCUAGUAUUUUCAACAUCUUGACCGACCUCUUCGAAGUUGCCUUCCGAUCCGAUCACAGGGUUUAAUGGCAUGAGAGUGCAAGUGUUGUUGUUGCAGCCUGGUCUAGGUGGAGACAAGCACUCAUCACAACGCUUCGACCUUGCGAGUGAGCAUUGAGCU